UACGAAGGGUGCAAGCGUUACUCGGAAUUACUGGGCGUAAAGCGUGCGUAGGCGGUUCGUUAAGUCUGUCGUGAAAGCCCUGGGCUCAACCUGGGAAUUGCGAUGGAUACUGGCGAGCUAGAGUACGGUAGAGGAUGGUGGAAUUCCCGGUGUAGCGGUGAAAUGCGUAGAGAUCGGGAGGAACACCCGUGGCGAAGGCGGCAUCCUGGACCAACACUGACACUGAUGAGCGAAAGCCAGGGGAGCAAACGGG
rnacentral:rRNA from 1 species